CUUUGGCUUUAGGUUUGGUAUGUGACCGGGGCCUUACUCUUGGUGACUUGAUCAGUGUCCUGAAUGACUUCUUCUCACGAUUAGGAAUGUCCAAGCUUCGUUUCAAGCGCGCUUACAAUCCAUAUACCGAACCCAACAUGGAGAUAUUCAGUUACCAUGAAGGCCUGAAGAAAUGGGUUGAAAUUGCCAACUCCGGUAUGUUCUGACCCGAGAUGUUGCUUCCAAUGGGAUUACCGGAGGAUGUUCGUGU